UCUUCAUAGUAACUCUAGGAGGUGAGAAUUUUUAUCACCGUUUCAGAGGUGAGGACUCGGUGUGGCUAAGGGGAUUGUCCAGGGUCACAUAAAGCUAGGCAGUAGAACGGGGACUGGAUGCAGCUUGCUUUGACUUUGUGGUUCGUGGACCUGACCACCCGUGCCCCUGGGGCUCCUGUCCAGGGUGGGAGACAGGCAGGCCUGGCCAGCAGGGUAGGCUGCCUGGAGGAGAAGGGACCUGUGCUGUCUUGGGAAGCUCUGUCCUGGCUGGUGUCCUAAGGUUCCUUGUUUAUCUUUUAAAAAUUAUCAUUGUGGUGUUUUUGUUUUUGUUUUUUUCCCUGUAAAGGCCUCAGUGUUGGCCAAGGAGAGGGGGAGGUCAUUCCAGUUGAAAUAGGACAGAGUCUUUCAAGCUGAGGUGAUCCCAGCUUCUCAUUCUGCAAGUGCAUUUUUGCCCAAUUUUGGGUGGCUGCCAGGGACCGAUGGUUUGAAGGGGCCCUGCCUCUUGCCCCAUCCCCUGCCCUGUCCCAGCCACUGUGAUUUUGCAUUUGUUCUUUGAACAUUCCUCCAGAAUGCAGGAGCCCUUCCCUCCUGCCUGUAUGACGUUCUGGAGUGGAACACACUCCCUGUUUUUUAUUUGAUUUUCCAGCAAAGGAAGUGACAUUCCAGUCAACCCGCUGGGCUUCAUGAUAGCUGUUCUGAGUGAGACUCGAAGGUCUGGGGAUGUCGACCACUGGCUAAUGUGAAGCCUGAGGAUUGUCUUUAAUAGCUGUACUAUUCCCUUCAGUACAGCUUUAAUAGCUGUACUAUUCCCUUCUUUUUCAACUCCAGCCUUUCGAUUACCAGGCAUUGGUAUUAGAUACUGUGAUGUGUGCAGUUACUUCUUGCAGUCCUUACCUUGACCUUGUGGCCUUGAAGUUCCUGGCACUCCCAGUUCCAGAUUAGAAGUCUGAGACCCAGAGAUAUGCAGACUGCCCAGUGCCACACAGCUAGGCUGUGGCAGGCAAGGGCCAGCCAAAGACCGUUAGGUCUAGAGCUUCUCUCCUACUCAUUUUUGCCUAAUGCUUAGGUCAGCACACAUUUAUGGAGUUUCUGCUGUAUACUAGGACUUAUAGAGCUCCUGCUGCAAACCUAGUCACUGGGGAGAGGUAGGAAAAGAAGAUUGUCAGUGUCUUUGGUAAUAUCAGCAUACUUAGAAAGGGGAAACUGGCUUGGAGAUGAGAGAGGAGGGAUAGUUGGGAGCCAAGCAUAUCCUGGGGUGUAGACUGGGGAGCUUGGUGUGUUUUUAGAUGAGGUGAAUGGACGGCCCUCUUUGCUGAGGACUUGGUGAAUGUUUGGAGCAGGGUAAGCUAGCAGUAGCUGGGUCUUUAUUCAGCACUUAUUUGCUGUGCAUCUUGUGUAUGGGCCUCUGAAAAUAAGGAACUGGAUAUAGUCCCAGGCCCUGCAUUUGGGGGAUCAGGUCCAGGAGGGAACUGGAGACAGGAACUGAGUUUCUAUCAAGGGGGAUGUCCUUGAGGCCUGCAUGUAGCGGGGAGUCCAGCAAUGCCACCCUGCACCCAGGGAAGUGGGGUUUUGCUGACCUUGUUAACUACUGUUAGCUCCUGGUUUCUCAUCCACCCACUUUACUCCUUUCCAGAUCUCCGGAUGGACCCAAGCCCUGCCGGACAUGGUAGUGUCCCACCUCUUUGGGAAGGAAGAAAUGCAGAGUAACGUGGAAGUGGUCCACACCUACCGCCAGCACAUUGUGAAUGACAUGAACCCCGGCAACCUGCACCUGUUCAUCAAUGCCUACAACAGCCGGCGCGACCUGGAGAUUGAGCGACCAAUGCCGGGAACCCACACAGUCACCCUGCAGUGCCCUGCUCUGUUGGUGGUUGGGGACAGCUCGCCUGCAGUGGAUGCCGUGGUGGAGUGCAACUCAAAAUUAGACCCAACAAAGACCACUCUCCUCAAGAUGGCGGACUGUGGCGGCCUCCCGCAGAUCUCCCAGCCGGCCAAGCUCGCUGAGGCCUUCAAGUACUUCGUGCAGGGCAUGGGAUACAUGCCCUCGGCUAGCAUGACCCGCCUGAUGCGGUCCCGCACAGCCUCUGGUUCCAGCGUCACUUCUCUGGAUGGCACCCGCAGCCGCUCCCACACCAGCGAGGGCACCCGAAGCCGCUCCCACACCAGCGAGGGCACCCGCAGCCGCUCCCACACCAGCGAGGGGGCCCACCUGGACAUCACCCCCAACUCGGGUGCUGCUGGGAACAACGCCGGGCCCAAGUCCAUGGAGGUCUCCUGCUAGGCGGCCUGCCCAGCUGCCGCCCCCGGACUCUGAUCUCUGUAGUGGCCCCCUCCUCCCCAGCCCCUUUUCGCCCCCUGCCUGCCACACUGCGCCUAACUCGGUAUUAAUCCAAAGCUUAUUUUGUAAGAGUGAGCUCUGGUGGAGACAAAUGGGGUCUAUUACGUGGGUGCCCUCUCCAAAGGCGGGGUGGCGGUGGACCAAAGGAAGGAAGCAAGCAUCUCCGCAUCGCAUCCUCUUCCAUUAACUAGUGGCCUGUUGCCACUCUCCUCCCCUCCCUCAGAGACACCAAACUGCCAAAAACAAGACACGUAGCAGCACACACUUCACAAAGCCAAGCCUAGGCUGCCCUGAGCAUCCUGGUUCAAACGGGUGCCUGGUCAGAAGGCCAGCCGCCCACUUCCCGUUUCCUCUUUAACUGAGGAGAAGCUGAUCCAGUUUCCGCAAACAAAAUCCUUUUCUCAUUUGGGGAGGGGGGUAAUAGUGACAUGCAGGCACCUCUUUUAAACAGGCAGAACAGGAAAGGGGAAAAGGUGGGAUUUAUGUCGAGGCUAGAGGAAUUUGGAACAACAAAUCUGUGUAGUUAACUUGAAGAAACCGAUUUUUAAAGUUGGUGCGUCUAGAAAGCUUUGAAUGCAGAAGCAAACAAGCUUGAUUUUUCUAGCAUCCUCUUAAUGUGCUGCAAAAGCAGGCAACAAAAUCUGGCUUUACAGACAAAAAUAUUUCAGCAAACGUUGGGCAUCAUGGUUUUUGAAGGCUUUAGUUCUGCUUUCUGCCUCUCCUCCACAGCCCCAACCUCCCACCCCUGAUACAUGAGCCAGUGAUUAUUCUUGUUCAGGGAGAAGAUCAUUUAGAUUUGUUUUGCAUUCCUUAGAAUGGAGGGCAACAUUCCACAGCUGCCCUGGCUGUGAUGAGUGUCCUUGCAGGGGCCGGGGUAGGAGCACUGGGGUGGGGCGGAAUUGGGGUUACUCGAUGUAAGGGAUUCCUUAUGGUUGUGUUGAGAUCCAGUGCAGUUGUGAUUUCUGUGGAUCCCAGCUUGGUUCCAGGAAUUUUGUGUGAUUGGCUUAAAUCCAGUUUUCAAUCUUCGACAGCUGGGCUGGAACGUGAACUCAGUAGCUGAACCUGUCUGACCCGGUCACGUUCUUGGAUCCUCAGAACUCUUUGCUCUUGUCGGGGUGGGGGGUGGGAACUCACGUGGGGAGCGGUGGCUGAGAAAAUGUAAGGAUUCUGGAAUACGUAUUCCAUGGGACUUUCCUUCCCUCUCCUGCUUCCUCUUUUCCCGCUCCCUAACCUUUCGCCGAAUGGGGCAGCACCACUGACGUUUCUGGGUGGCCAGUGCGGCUGCCAGGUUCCUGUACUACUGCCUUGUACUUUUCAUUUUGGCUCACCGUGGAUUUUCUCAUAGGAAGUUUGGUCGGAGUGAAUUGAAUAUUGUAAGUCAGCCACUGGGACCCGAGGAUUUCUGGGACCCCGCAGUUGGGAGGAGGAAGUAGUCCAGCCUUCCAGGUGGCGUGAGAGGCAAUGACUCGUUACCUGCCGCCCAUCACCUUGGAGGCCUUCCCUGGCCUUGAGUAGAAAAGUCGGGGAUCGGGGCAAGAGAGGCUGAGUACGGAUGGGAAACUAUUGUGCACAAGUCUUUCCAGAGGAAUUUCUUAAUGAGAUAUUUGUAUUUAUUUCCAGACCAAUAAAUUUGUAACUUUGC
rnacentral:sRNA from 1 species